CAGCAGCCGCGGGAAAACCAGCACCUCGAGUGGUCAGGAGGUUUAUUGGGCCUAAAGCAUCCGUAGCCGGUUGCAUAAGUUUUCGGUUAAAUCUAUGCGCUUAACGUAUAGGCCGCCGAAAAUACUGUGCAGCUAGGGAGUGGGAGAGGUACACGGUACUCGAUAGGAAGGGGUAAAAUCCUUUGAUCUAUUGAUGACCACCUGUGGCGAAGGCGGUGUACCAGAACACGUUCGACGGUGAGGGGUGAAAGCUGGGGGAGCAAACCGGAUUAGAUACCCGCGUAGUCCCUGUCUCUUAUAA
rnacentral:rRNA from 1 species